UACGAGGGGUGCAAGCGUUGCUCGGAAUUAUUGGGCGUAAAGGGUAGGUAGGUGGUCUCAUUUGUCCGGGGUGAAAGCCUUGAGCUUAACUCAAGAAGUGCCUCGGAAACGGUGAGACUGGAGUCCUGGAGAGGGUCGUGGAAUUCCCGGUGUAGCGGUGAAAUGCGUAGAGAUCGGGAGGAACACCUAUGGCGAAGGCAGCUCGCUGGGACGUUACUGACGCUGAGGCACGAAGGCCAGGGGAGCAAACGGG
rnacentral:rRNA from 1 species